UACGAAGGGGGCUAGCGUUGUUCGGAAUUACUGGGCGUAAAGCGCACGUAGGCGGGUUGUUAAGUCAGGGGUGAAAUCCCGGAGCUCAACUCCGGAACUGCCUUUGAUACUGGCAAUCUAGAGACUGGAAGAGGUUAGUGGAAUUCCCAGUGUAGAGGUGAAAUACAUAGAGAUGUCAUAGAACACCGAUUGCGAAGGCAGCUCACAAAACUGUAACUGACGCUGAGGCUCGAAAGUGCGGGGAUCAAACAGG
rnacentral:rRNA from 1 species